rnacentral:rRNA from 1 species
UACGGAGGGUGCAAGCGUUAUCCGGAUUUACUGGGUUUAAAGGGUGCGCAGGCGGAUAUGUAAGUCAGUGGUGAAAUCUCUAGGCUUAACCUGGAAAUUGCCGUUGAUACUAUAUAUCUUGAAUGUUGUGGAGGUAAGCAGAAUAUGUCAUGUAGCGGUGAAAUGCUUAGAUAUGACAUAGAAUACCUAUUGCGAAGGCAGCUUACUACGCAGAUAUUGACGCUCAUGCACGAAAGCGUGGGGAUC